rnacentral:rRNA from 1 species
UACGUAGGGUGCGAGCGUUGUCCGGAAUUACUGGGCGUAAAGAGCUCGUAGGUGGUUUGUCGCGUUGUUCGUGAAAACUCACAACUCAAUUGUGGGCGUGCGGGCGAUACGGGCAGACUGGAGUACUGCAGGGGAGACUGGAAUUCCUGGUGUAGCGGUGGAAUGCGCAGAUAUCAGGAGGAACACCGGCGGUGUAGACGGCUUUCUGGACCGUAGCUGACGCUGAGACACGAAAGCCAGGGGAGCAAACGGG